UGUCCAGGGAUGGGAAUCGAACCCACAGUGUUCCGCUUACCGGGCAGAUGCCAUGUCCACUAGGCUACCCCUAGGC
rnacentral:tRNA from 1 species